AUGAACUGGAUCAGACAGACAGCUGGAAAUGGACUGGAGUGGAUUGGUUAUAUCAGUGAUAGCAGCACCUACAUCUACUACUCUGACUCAGUGAGAAACCGGUUCACCAUCUCCAGAGACAACAGCAGAAAAUUAAAGACCUGCAGUAAAUCAGAGACAAACACACUGCAGACUGAGCAGAGACAAAUGGCUGCUACAAUGAUCAGACCUCAUCAGGUUAUGAUUGCUUUUCUCAUCCUGACAGUUAACUGGACAGGUACUGAUGGUCAAACACUGACUGAGUCUGAACCAGUGGUUAAAAGGCCUGGAGAAUCCCACAGACUGACCUGUACAUAUUCUGGGUUUAGUAGCACUCCUUACAUAGCUUGGAUCAGACAAGCAACUGGAAAAGGACUGGAGUGGAUUGCUUGGAUCUGGUCAGACAGUGGAGGCAUCUACUACUCUGACUCAGUGAGAAACCGGUUCACCAUCUCCAGAGACAACAGCAGAAGUCAGGUGUAUCUGCAGAUGAACAGUCUGAAAGCUGAGGAUUCUGCUGUUUAUUAUUGUGCUCGAGAGCCACAGUGA